AUUGAACGCUGGCGGCAUGCCUUACACAUGCAAGUCGAACGAGUGGCGAACGGGUGAGUAAUACAUCGGAACGUGCCCUGUAGUGGGGGAUAACUAGUCGACAGACUAGUUACUACCGCAUACUAUUGGACCGGCCGAUGUCUGAUUAGCUAGUUGGUGGGGUAAAGGCCUACCAAGGCGACGAUCAGUAGCGGGUCUGAGAGGACGAUUAGCCACACGGGGACUGAGACACGGCCCAGACUCCUACGGGAGGCAGCAGUGGGGAAUUUUGGACAAUGGGGGCAACCAUGAUCCAGCAAUGCCGCGUGUAUGAAGAAGGCCUUCGGGUUGUAAAGCACUUUUGGCCGGGAAGCGGUACCGGAAGAAGAAGGACCGGCUAACUACGUGCCAGCAGCCGCGGUAAUUC
rnacentral:rRNA from 1 species